CCUGUUCUCCUGCUGGCCUGGCCUGCCCCAGCCAAGGGAGGUGCACAGGGGACUCUUGCACAUCAUUGGUCUGAGAAGGUCUCCAUGCCCUUAAAGAGAAGGUGGAUUUUCUGCUGAGCCACCCGAGAAGCCCUUUUAUACCUCCUUACUCAGCCAGCUGCCUGCGGCUCGUCUGUCCAUCCUGUCCAGCCAGCACGGCUCUGAUUUUCUCCAGACUUGGGCUCACAACCAUCUAAACCAAGAUGUCUGAGUAAG